AUUGAACGCUGGCGGCAGGCCUAACACAUGCAAGUCGAGCGGAUGAAGAGAGCUUGCUCUCUGAUUUAGCGGCGGACGGGUGAGUAAUGCGUAGGAAGCUACCCGAUAGAGGGGGAUACCAGUUGGAAACGACUGUUAAUACCGCAUAAUGUCUACGGACCAAAGUGUGGGACCUUCGGGCCACAUGCUAUCGGAUGCGCCUACGUGGGAUUAGCUAGUUGGUGGGGUAAUGGCUCACCAAGGCGACGAUCCCUAGCUGGUUUGAGAGGAUGAUCAGCCACACUGGAACUGAGACACGGUCCAGACUCCUACGGGAGGCAGCAGUGGGGAAUAUUGGACAAUGGGCGCAAGCCUGAUCCAGCCAUGCCGCGUGUGUGAAGAAGGCCUUCGGGUUGUAAAGCACUUUCAGUAGGGAGGAAGGGUGUUGUGUUAAUAGCACAGUAUUUUGACGUUACCUACAGAAGAAGCACCGGCUAACUACGUGCCAGCAGCCGCAGUAAUAC
rnacentral:rRNA from 1 species